rnacentral:lncRNA from 1 species
CGAUAAAGCAGAAUAACAAGUCCAUCUUUCUCCAAAGAGACUGCAAACAAGAAGUCCCUCUACAUCUAAUUUUUAAUAUUUGUAUAUGGAUGGAACAUCUUAUUGGAAAUCCAAGAAUUCAUCCCUGAAAAUAUAUUACUUUAUAUGUCUUUCUAUGAUGUAUUGAUUUAUAUGAAAAUAUUGAGGAAACUAAAUAGGUCAGUUUGGACAAUCACUACAGUAUACACAUAAAGGAGCCAAGAAAACACUAGCCUUGAUUCUGAACUUGAUUGAGUUUGCUCACAAGAGGAGAGUUUCAACAUAAAAAUAUAUCUCCUCCAAGUCACUUUGAGUAUUGCCUGAAGCAAAGAAGAAAUUGAAGAAAAGCCAGGAGUUCAGGACACUGACAACUUUGCCACAAUGAUAUUUUUCUUUCUUCUAUCUAAUGAGCAUCAAAAGGGAAGAUGUUGCUCAGCUACCAUAGAGGUAUGUGAAAAAUUUUCCUCAACAGCCAGUUCUGCUGCUUCAGAGAAUCUGGGAGAAAAGGAAGCAGAAUUCUACAUGGCAAGUAAGGCUAUUAGUGUAACCACUCAAAUAUAAAGGGAGACAUGAAUCCAGUCUAACAUGAAACAACAUUUUGGAUAAACUUUUAAACCACUUAUGAUGUGAACUUUAAAACUGGAGAAUAUAUAAUGAUUCACAUCAUCUGUAAGACAAAUAUUUGUGUGAUCCACCUAACGCUGUUUAGUAGGUGCCAAAUAAUUGUACUUUUUCUCACUUUGUCCUCUUGUAUGAAGAAAUAGUAGAACUGAUAGCAGUAAAUAAGAAUGACAUAGUGUAUCUACAACUGGGUACAUAUGUUGCUAAAAACUGUAAGUGUCUAACACAUAAAAUGUAUGAAACUGAAACCAAGGUCUACUUUUUUGUACAAUUAAUAAAAAUAAUCUGGAUAAAAAUAAACCCCAAUAUGGAGAAAAAUGAGUUUAACAUAAUAUCUAGACAGCUGGCUAAGUGAAUGCAGCUGAAAAAAUGCAUAAUUACAUCUCUGUUAUGUUUUUAUAAAACACAAGUCACAAGUCAAAUGUAAGCAUUUGUUUUUAUUUUGCCAAAUGAUCAUGUCCAGUACACUAUAUAAAGCCAAGCUAAAUAAGACUAAUGCACAAUCCUAAUUCACUGUGAUUGGAACUUCCUGCUGGCAUUUAUGUAUUGGUUUAAAUGCAUUAGAAAGCAAGACAUCUAUUAUAUUUAGUAGAUGAUUGAAUGAAUCCUAUUUGUAAAUGCUAAUAAUCAAUGUGAGUUUAAUGAAAAUCAUAUCAUGAAAAUGAGGGUAUAUACUCAAACCUAAAGUUCACAUUCUGUUCUUCACCUGAAUUAGAAUGGCCAUAGUCUCAAAACUUUGCUCUUGUAACUAAAUGAAUAAAAAACAAUAAAAGGUUUAAUAAUAAUCUAUAUUUAUUGAAUUUGCAAUUGAAAUAUUUUUAAGAGCAAGUGUGUGGGAUGAUAUGAGAGAAUAACUAAACAGCAGUGUGAGGUGAUGUAAAGAGCCUCAGAGUGAUCUGGAUUCUUUCUAUUCUCAUUUCUGCAUUAAUUCACUGGGUUAAUGGCUG